CAAAUGGAGAGUUUGAUCCUGGCUCAGGAUGAACGCUGGCGGCAUGCCUAAUACAUGCAAGUCGAACGAGAGGAAGGAAAGCUUGCUUUCCUAAAUCUAGUGGCGAACGGGUGAGUAACACGUAGGUAACCUGCCCAUGUGCCCGGGAUAACUUCUGGAAACGGAUGCUAAAACCGGAUAGGUAGCAGACAAGCAUUUGACUGCUAUUAAAGUGGCUAAGGCCAUGAACAUGGAUGGACCUGCGGUGCAUUAGCUAGUUGGUGAGGUAACGGCCCACCAAGGCGACGAUGCAUAGCCGGCCUGAGAGGGCGGACGGCCACAUUGGGACUGAGACACGGCCCAAACUCCUACGGGAGGCAGCAGUAGGGAAUUUUCGUCAAUGGGGGGAACCCUGAACGAGCAAUGCCGCGUGAGUGAGGAAGGUCUUCGGAUCGUAAAGCUCUGUUGUAAGAGAAAAACGGCACUCAUAGGGAAUGAUGAGUGAGUGAUGGUAUCUUACCAGAAAGUCACGGCUAACUACGUGCCAGCAGCCGCGGUAAUACGUAGGUGGCGAGCGUUAUCCGGAAUGAUUGGGCGUAAAGGGUGCGUAGGUGGCAGAUCAAGUCUGGAGUAAAAGGUAUGGGCUCAACCCGUACUUGCUCUGGAAACUGAUCAGCUAGAGAACAGAAGAGGACGGCGGAACUCCAUGUGUAGCGGUAAAAUGCGUAGAUAUAUGGAAGAACACCGGUGGCGAAGGCGGCCGUCUGGUCUGGAUUCUGACACUGAAGCACGAAAGCGUGGGGAGCAAAUAGGAUUAGAUACCCUAGUAGUCCACGCCGUAAACGAUGAGAACUAGGUGUUGGGGGAAUAACUCAGUGCCGCAGUUAACGCAAUAAGUUCUCCGCCUGGGGAGUAUGCACGCAAGUGUGAAACUCAAAGGAAUUGACGGGGGCCCGCACAAGCGGUGGAGUAUGUGGUUUAAUUCGAAGCAACGCGAAGAACCUUACCAGGCCUUGACAUCCCUUGCAGAGGUAUAGAGAUAUAUCCGAGGUUAUCAAGGAGACAGGUGGUGCAUGGUUGUCGUCAGCUCGUGUCGUGAGAUGUUGGGUUAAGUCCCGCAACGAGCGCAACCCUUGUGAUAUGUUACUAACAUUGAGUUGAGGACUCAUAUCAGACUGCCGGUGAUAAACCGGAGGAAGGUGGGGAUGACGUCAAAUCAUCAUGCCCCUUAUGGCCUGGGCUACACACGUACUACAAUGGCGUCUACAAAGAGCGGCAAGCCUGUGAAGGCAAGCGAAUCUCAUAAAGGACGUCUCAGUUCGGAUUGAAGUCUGCAACCCGACUUCAUGAAGCUGGAAUCGCUAGUAAUCGCGAAUCAGCAUGUCGCGGUGAAUACGUUCUCGGGCCUUGUACACACCGCCCGUCAAACCAUGGGAGUUGGUAAUGCCCGAAGCCGGUGGCAUAACCCUUCGGGGAGUGAGCCGUCGAAGGCAGGACCGAUGACUGGGGUUAAGUCGUAACAAGGUAUCCCUACGGGAACGUGGGGAUGGAUCACCUCCUUUCUAAGGAGA
rnacentral:rRNA from 1 species